AUCUACUCCAUCCAUCUCAAGAUAUAAGGGAUUUUGGGUGGAUGUGACACAUUCUAUUACUUUAAUGUUCAGAUUCGUAGUAUUAAAAUAUGUUACAUCCAACCAAAAUCACUUAUAUUUUAAUACGAAUGGAGUAUCUAGAAGUAGUGG
rnacentral:misc_RNA from 1 species